UUCGGCGGGCCCGCCUUAACUGGCCGCCGGGGGGCUCACGCCCCCGGGCCCGCGCCCGCCGAAGACACCCUCGAACUCUGUCUGAAGAUUGAAGUCUGAGUGAAGAUAUAAAUUAUUUUAAACUUUCAACAACGGAUCUCUUUGGUUCCGGCAUCGAUGAAGAACGCAGCGAAAUGCGAUACGUAAUGUGAAUUGCAAAUUCAGUGAAUCAUCGAGUCUUUGAACGCACAUUGCGCCCCCUGGUAUUCCGGGGGGCAUGCCUGUCCGAGCGUCAUUGCUGCCCUCAAGCCCGGCUUGUGUGUUGGGCCCCGUCCUCCGAUCUCCGGGGGACGGGCCCGAAAGGCAGCGGCGGCACCGCGUCCGGUCCUCGAGCGUAUGGGGCUUUGUCACCCGCUCUGUAGGCCCGGCCGGCGCUUGCCGAUCAACCCAAAUUUUUAUCCAGGUGACCUC
rnacentral:rRNA from 1 species